rnacentral:rRNA from 1 species
GUCUAUGGCCAUGCUACCCUGAAUGUGCCCGAUCUUGUCUGAUGUCAGAAGCUAAGCAGGGUCAGGCCUGGUUAGUACUUGGAUGGGAGAUCACCUAGGAAUAUCAGGGUCUGUAGACG